rnacentral:misc_RNA from 1 species
UCUCCGUAGGUGAACCUGCGGAGGGAUCAUUACUGAGUGAGGGCCUUCGGGCUCGACCUCCAACCCUUUGUGAACACAACUUGUUGCUUCGGGGGCGACCCUGCCGUUUCGACGGCGAGCGCCCCCGGAGGCCUUCAAACACUGCAUCUUUGCGUCGGAGUACAAAAGUUAAAUCGUUAAAACUUUCAACAACGGAUCUCUUGGUUCUCGCAUCGAUGAAGAACGCAGC